rnacentral:piRNA from 1 species
UGGGACUAUGAUGAAGGUGUUGUUUCCC